GUCCUGUCCUGGGGGAACAGGGAAGAAGGGACGGCGGCGAGACCAUGGCUAGAAGUAGAGGCGAAAGGUGGCCCUAGGGUAGCGACGUCUUUCCCCCGGAGCCGGGAAAGGAGGACAGGGCAGCCGGCUUUGUCAGGUGGCCUCGGGGAAGGCUCGUCUGCUUCUCGCCGCCGGGGCCGCCUCGGCACGGCCCGUCUGUUCCUUGGGGAGGAGGCAGGGAAGAGAGCCGAGCUCGUCCCGUGCCGAGGACAGCGGGGCUUAGGUACAGCAACUUGCGGGCAGGAUACCACCCUCGCCGGCGGAACCGGGGCGUGAAAACGGAGGCGGCGGCGGCGCGGCCCGGCCGGGAGGGUGUGGGGCUGCUGCCGCCCCGGGGCGGUGUCGCCGGUGACAGGUGCGAUUCUGCCUCCCGUGUCGGCCCCGUAGCGGGCGCGUCACCGGGGCCGGGCGGCACCACCCAGCGCCAGGCGUACCCGAGUCCCCCGAAAAUGUCCCGCCGGGGGUUGCGGGACGGGAGGCGGGUAGAGGAGCUGCUCCGAUCCGGGAAGCCCAUGGUGUCGGAGGGGCGGAAAGGGUGCGCGGGGCCGCAGGGCUGCGGGGAGCCGGUUGUGCCGGCCGGACCCCCCGGGGAGGCCGGCGAGCAGGCAAGAAUGACACCGCUAUAAAAGGCAGUGCUCCUCCGGUGCUGUGCUGCUGGGUGGCGGCACAGGGCAGGGAUGGGAGAAGCGGCACGGAAGCCCGUGUUAAGGGGUGUCGCUCCCUCGGCUGAGGCGGGGAAGCAGCGGCUCUCGGGCGCUGCCGGGCUGGGAAGCCGGGCUGGGCGCGGAGGAUCGGGAAGGGAAGGGUGGGAGCCUGUUGACAGGCUGCCGGGAUGAAAAAAAAUGGAGGCUGCCUUUUCCCUCGGUGUUUACUCUCGGCACGCAACCGGGAGGGAAGGACGGCUGCGCCCGCCGCCGAGACCCUGUCCCCGGGGGCAUAGCGGCGGGGAAGGCAGCACUGCCCGGGCCGCACGGACCUCCAGUCGGCGGGGACGGAGCCCUGCCGGCAGCCUGGGCGGUGGCGGCUACGGAGCCUCCCCCCGUGCCGGCUGCCCCCCUCGAGCGGCGGCGGCUCCUCCCCUCCGUCCGCUCCGGCGGCUCCGCGCCCCCAGGGCAGCGGCCGGGCUGAGCUGGGCAUUUGCUCUUUUUGGGUGCCUAAAAAGGAGCGACGAGCAAGGGAAAUGCAGACUCACCGCGGGAAAGAUGAGGGGGUUGGCCGAUUUCGUGUGUAAAAAAUAAUUAUGGCAAUAGUAAUAAUAGUAGUAAAAGCUGUGUUCACUGGGUUUUUAAGGAAAGUCCGCGAGGGAAGUGGGGAGCGGUGUAAUCAGUGCUACUUGUGGUCGGUGGUGCUGCUCAGUGUGAUUUCAUGAGGGUGAAGGAGGAGGUGUGAUUUCUAGCAGGCAUCCUUGAAGCAGUGCUGGGAGCUUCAUUUAUGUGGAUAUAGGGUCCAACAGGGGGCUGGGUCCCCUCUGGAGGGCUUGAUGCUCCCGAGGCAACCUGUUUAAGAUGACAGCCAUUGAGUGUGAAACUCCUUGUCAGGAUGCUGGUCUUGGUGGCUUUUAUAAUGGAAAAAGGACUGAGCUUUAUCGUUCCCAGGAAAAAAAUCCCGAUGAAAGCAAAAUGACAAAACAGUAGGCUUACACACAGUAGUCUGCCUAGUGUAGUUACAAAUGGGUGCUUGUGUAAUAAUCUUGCAGUUUUGGAACACUCUGCCAGCUGUAUUAAUAAUCAACUUCUGCAUUUAUGUGUGGGUUGAGGGAUGCUACAGCUAGUAAGCUCAUAAGUGGUGCAGUGAUCACUUCUGAUGCUGAUAACUUCUGGUAACAGAGAAGUUGCAUUGAGCUCAGUCUUGAAACAUCUGAAAAUCUUAAAGUAGAAGGACAUGCUUAUCAAAAAACUCUUAGAGCAUAUUUGACAACUGGCAUUCUCAUUUCCAUAUUUACGUGUGAAGGUUAUCUUGUCCAGCCUGGGCUCUAACAUACACUGGAAAAUGUUCUGGCAUCUCCUAUGUGUGUCUGGCAUUAAGAAGUGCUCUUUGAAUUCCACCUCUGUGCAUGAUCCACUCUUCUAUAAGGAGAGGGUCUAUUAAGAGAUUUCCGGUGCUUCCCUUUGUUUGAACAACAGGCACUUUUUUUUUUUCAGUAGAACACAAAGGGCGCAGAGAUCAAUGAACAAGGAAAAAACUUUAGCACACUUAGGAGCAGACAAAAUAUUAUUGUCUUUACAGAAUUUACAAUGACAAAUGUUUCUUUUUUUCCUGUCACUUGCAGAGAAUAUUAGCAAAGCUCUAGCUGUUAUUAAAAAGAGAAAAUGAGUAAAAGUGUUGCAGUGUUUUCCAGGAGGGAAAAAAAAAAUACCCCAACAACAAAAAGCCUGCCUAAACAAUCAGUUCUAAUCUUGGGUUGGUUAAAUUGGUCAGUAGAGCUGCCAAGUGGGGUUAUUGGCUUUCCUCCUGUCCUUUUGUAAGACUAAGCUUGAAGUAGAAUUAAAGUAGCCUGAAGAAUGGAGUUUCAUUAUUUGGAAGAUUUUGUUAGGAUAUUGAACAGCAGCUAGGUUCACAUCACUUGAUGUGUGCACAUUUCCAGUUUUCACUUUGGUUAUGUAAAUGUAAACUCACUCUUGAGUUGUUGGGGAAAUAAAGUUGCAGUUGAAAUGUGAGGAAAGCAGCUGAACUGGAAGUGAGGUGGUGGCAGUAGGAACACAUAAAGACUGUGUGUCUUGAAUGUGAAUGAGGAAUCCCUUUAUUGGAAUUGGAAGAAAUUGAGGCAGCUUACUUUCUGUUACAUAUUUGGUAUCGAAAUAUCAUUGUUUGAGGUUGAAAAGAAAAGAAUACCUUGUUAGGUCUGUCACCUUUGUGGCAGGAUUAACAGUAAAAGAAGGAGAGUUGGGGGCCAGGCAAAGUGAUUACAUUUUUAGGGAGAAAACUGUGGUUUUAGGAAGUGUCUUUCUGUCCUGUAUAUAAGUUGGAGAUUAGAAAUGACUGUGAAACUGAGAGAAGCAUAUGUUUUGAACUAUAAAUGUAUAGACAAUUGUCCUUAUUUUUUUUUUUUUUUUUAAUUAAAGUGCACUGUUGUGACUUGAAAGGACUGGUAAAGUGUUUUGGAGUUAUGAAAAAAGACUGCUACCAUACAAAAACCCAGUAGCGCAGAGUCUAAAACGUAGAGUGGUGUUAGUAAAUGUUUUAAGUAUACAAGAUCUAUUUUUUAUGAAAAGUUAUUAAGAUAAACCUUUUCAAAAUGUGUUCUAAGUUUCAACCUAAAAUUCUGUGUAUCUGAAAGGUGUGAAAACAUCUGACGAGUAAAGUUGAAUUUGAGGGAGUGCCAUCAAGUUAUGGCUUACAGGGCAGUAACAUACAGAGGUGUGGUUUGGUUGUUGUUGGUUUCAUCUUCAUCUUUGCAGCUGUGAGUGCUCAAUACUUAGGUAAGAGGACUCAACUGACAUCUUCAGGAUGCAAGAAUAAGGGCUGUCUGUUAAGUUUAAAUCAUAUUAUUAUAAGAGUGUUUUCGAAACGAAAGUAUUUUUGCUAGUUGAAGUUUGUGAAUUUAGUUUUUUAGACAUAAAGAACAAAAGUUUUUUCAUCCAAGUAAAAGACAAAUGUUGAUGUUAGUCAAACUUUUAGUAAUUAAAAUUACCCUUUUGGUAUGAUGGAGAUACCUGUGAAUACAAAAGUUUGCAGAGAAAAAGGCUUGUAAGCACUUCAGUCAACCCUUGGCUAGACAGUGUAGGGAGUGUCUUUAUAGAUUACUCUGAUAAGUCUUCGUGGAAAAAAACCAACCAACUGAUAACUCUUCUUUUGUGACACGAAAAUGUAUGUAGUUACUUCCUGUAAGAUACAUUUUUUAUGAGCGGCCUCUACAAACUGUAGUAACUUCAUUCAUUUAUGGACAAACAAUACAGUUUUCAAAGCCGUUGAGGAGAUUAGCAUUGUCACCACCUGUUUAUGUGAACACUUUCCACAUGUCUGGGAGGAGCACAAUUUGCAUACUGAGCAAUGAGGAGGGUCUGGUUGGAGGAACAAAAGUGUUUGAAAAACAAAGGAAAAACAAGGGGCCCCAAAAGUCUUGUCAUUAAGGUGAAUAACUGUUCAGGCUUUUCCAGGUCAAAUCUGAACAUAGUUUUUAAUUGUACUUCAUUCCUUGAGAUGGGAAAACAAAAAAGGGGAGGAUUUUCCAUCUAAAACCUAAUCUACACAGGUAGCAGCAGUCCUUUCUCAGGAGAAGGAGUAAGUCUGAGAUGAAUGUGGGUCUGGAGGAAGUGGAUGUUCCAAGUAGAGAGUUCAGUGUGCCACUUCUCUCAAGGUGAAGUUAGAGAACAGGCUGGUAGCCAGAAUAGCUUUAAAUAGCACUUGGUUCUAAUGUUGUACACUUAGUGUAUCCUGCUUGUGCAUGUGUUUCUUAAUGUAAGCUUAAUGAUAAAAGAAUUUAAAACUUUGGUUUGAGAUAUUUGUGCUUAGUUACCAAAAUGAACAUAUGAGUAUUUUAGGAAUGCUGAGAUGUGUUGUGAUUGUGGUCAUUUGGAAGCUUCUGCAAGCACUAGUAACUUGAGAUUUUGAUCAGUCUGGGUUUGACUAAGUCUGCCUAUAGCAACCUAUGCUGAUAGUCGCUUGAAUAGUUGAGACCUUAGAAGAAGUACUAAUAAGUGUCAUGAAAAUAUGAUUGAUUUUCUUAUUUUUCUUUUAAAUAAUGAUCUUGUUUACUUAGUUUUCAUUAAAUUCACUUAAUACUGUAAAGAUAAAAGCUAGCAUUUAGGAAUGUGUUAUUUCAAGUUUAAAAGGAGGACUUAUGUUUUAUUUCUUCCUGAUUAUAUUGCUUUAUAUACUGUUGCCUUGCUUGCUUUAUAUUAGUAUCCUGUGUGAUAGUGGCUGGGAUAAUUGACUGCAUGUAGUAGACAGCAUUAAAAAUGCUAUCAUAGUAAGGAAAGGAGAGAGGGUUGGGAAAGAUUACAUGGUAAAGAAAAGGCAAGCGUAUUAUUAAAAGGCAGCAGUUUUUUUUCAAGAAUACUACUAAUAAAAACACAAUAUCAUUUAGAUCAUGGGCAAACUGACUUGCAAGGUAGGCAUCAAUUGUGGAAAAAAAAGCCAAAUUUCCAUCUGAAAACCAUGAAGCAGAACACACUAUCUGUAAAGUUAUGAUGGAUGACUCUUCUUAGGAAGGCACUAUCUCCUGGUGAUGUGUAGUAGCAACUUACAGAGAAGGUAGUCAGAAUUGUGAUUGUUGCUUACUUGGCAUGCCAGUUGGAGCAGCUGGAGAGUUGUUUUGAGUGUCUAACAGGAAUAAUCUAAUAGCCAAGCCAAAAGUGAAGUUUUGCCAGGCAGCACUGGUGGUAGCUCACAUGACAGUUCCCUGCUGUCCUCUGCAUAUACUGGUUCUUGGCCCUGUGGCUGUCAGGAGCUGAGAUGUGUUUUAAGAAUUGGUGGGCAUGCAGAGGAUGUAAAGCAUGAAACAAGUUGUCCAUUCUUUCAUGUGACUUAGAGUGAUGACAGCAUUUGUAUUAAGUAAAUAAACACAACAAAAAUUCACAGUGUUGUGUAAACUUUUCAAGAAUCUGUUACUUCCUGCUUUGAGUUGCAUUAGCAAAUGAGAAGGUUGCAGCAGUAUUGGUGUCAUUAGUGCCAGUUGACCUGGGCUGAAGAAGUGGGCUCUUUUGUGAAGGUCUGAUCCAAUUCAGAAAUAGCCAUUUUAAUUAUAUGGUUGAAGCAAGGUGGUGUGUAUGUGUGUGUAAAUGAUAUUUUGAAAAAUACCAUAGAAAAAUACCACAACUUGAUAGUUUCUGAUGAGCAUAUAUAGAGCAAAAAUAACUGCAGAAACAAUGAAAUUACAAUGGAGAAGUUAGGCUGAAAAAUAGCAUUGUUGAGUUGACAUUCCCUGGAACAAUGAAGAUGAGGAUAGAGAGUUUCAGUGUGAAAUGCAGCAGCUGUUGUGCAGUUUGGCUUAGUGUGUAACAGCCAAGCUUCUCUCUGGAUAGACAAGGACAGAUCAAAUUAGAGGGUAGGUUGUGUUUGAAGCAGUUGGAGGCAGAAGUUAGGAAUAUUUCUAAGAGAGGACAGAGGGCAAUUACUGGUAACAUAGCUGCCAGCUGAGAAACUAAAUGCACAUUUGGAGUGGAAGGUAAAUGGGAGUUAGAGAAAAGCCAGGUCCAUUCUUGGAAGGAGUGCAUUCGAGCUGGCAUGAAGUGCUGAAGCAGGAAGAGACUUGGUACAGCCGAGGCUUUCAUCAGUUGUGGAGCUUAGUCACUAUGUAGAUGGAUAAUAAAUGUUUCUUAUAGAAAUGAUGUGUCUCCAGUUGAAUGUGUCCCACAGCAACCUAACAAAAAAGGUGUGAAUUUUAACCUAAAAUAUCACAUGACUUCCAAGAGUUUUUGCAUGUAAAAUCACUGUCUAGGUAAAUAAAAUCUAAAUAAAGACUGGAAAGACUUUCCUUACCCAAAUAUACAGAGAAAAAUAUUAAUGUUUCUCUACUCCUUUUCAAUUGAAAAUAAAAACUUAAAUAAUUCUAGUGUCAAAAAAAUGUAGACUGGUAGGUCAGUUUAAUGUGGUGAAAUUGCAUAGUGAUUUUUGGUCUGCAUCUUGAAGAAGGAGAUAAAAUCAUGGAAAUAGCUGUUCAUGGUCAGCAAAAGUGUUAAAAUAAUAAAGACACAUUGAAAUUUUGGACAUGCAGUGGUGGUUGAAGGAAAGUCAGUGAUAAGUUUGAAAAGAACAGAGGAAACAAUUUUUUCUGCUUGAUAUUGGUAAGAAAUUUAAUCUUAAAAAAAAAAAAAAAAAGCUAUGAGGUAAAAAAACCCCGUGAAGGUCACAGCAGGCUAUUUUAAUUUAAUGACUAAGAUGGUUAUAUCUAUUUGUUGUUCUUAUGAAGAAAUUUGCCUGAUUUGGAGAAGGAUCUUUGUUUAACUUAACAUUUUUCUUGGUGCGCUAAAAUCAAAAGUAGACUACUGGUGAAGUAAUACUGAUGAUCUGCAAAGCUGAGUCAUACUCCUUCAGGAAGGAUACUGCUGUUUUGAGAAAACAGAUCACUUACCCGGUAGUGAGGAGUAGGAAUUGAAAUGACAGGGAACAACUCAAGUGCUUUUAGCAGUAGACACUACAGUACAUUAAAGCAUCUGAUUUUCAGCCUCUAGAGUAGGUUGUUGUAUGGGUACACAAAGAGGAGGGUCAUAAAUGAGUUGUGUCCACAAAGUUUCACAAAACAGUCUGAGUGACAAGACUCUGCUCUAAAGAUACAAAGCCCGUUCCAGUAGUUUCUCUGCCAAGUAGCUGCUCUAAGUAAUGAAAUAGCCUAACUGCACAUUUG